AUUGAACGCUGGCGGCAGGCCUAACACAUGCAAGUCGAGCGCGCGGCGGACGGGAGAGUAAUGUGUGGGAAUCUGCGCGAGAGAGGGGGAUAACUACUGGAAACGGUGGAUAAUACCGCAUUAUCUCGGAUGAACCCAUAUGGGAUUAGCUAGUAGGUGGGGUAAAGGCUCACCUAGGCGACGAUCUCUAGCUGGUCUGAGAGGAUGAACAGCCACACUGGAACUGAGACACGGCCCAGACUCCUACGGGAGGCAGCAGUGGGGAAUAUUGCACAAUGGGCGCAAGCCUGAUGCAGCCAUGCCGCGUGUAUGAAGAAGGCCUUAGGGUUGUAAAGUACUUUCAGCGGGGAGGCGUUACCCGCAGAAGAAGCACCGGCUAACUCCGUGCCAGCAGCCGCGGUAAUUC
rnacentral:rRNA from 1 species